GAGGCGGGACGGCCGCGGGCUCUGCGCCCGCCCUCGGCGCGGACCCUGGGCCCCGACCCCGCGGUCGCCGGGGCUCCCCUUCCUCUGUCCCAGUGCGCCCAGCCCCGCGCUCCGCACCCGGGCACCCCCGCGGGGUUCUCCUGAGUUCCUGGAGCUCCCGGGGCUGGCGCUCACGCCGUGAGAGGGGUGCGCCCUUAGGGGGGCGGGACGGACGGGGGGUUUCUACGGGAGGUAGGAAACGGGCGGCUUGCAAGGCGCGGGCUUAGGCCGGAGCCUGGUGGUGCGAGGUCCCCAGCUCGGAUUUCUCCCUGGUGGAGAGUCCCGGAGCAGAACAAACCAGCAGAGGCUCUGGAAAGGGUCCUCCUGAGCACGUGGCUCAUUCAUUCAUUCGACAAACGUUACCUGAGCGCCUGCCCACUCAUUGCCCGAGUGUGCUGGGAGCGCCGCACCAACUGCCUGGUAGGUGGGAGAAGGGACACGUCAGGUAACAAACAGCACAGGUAAGUGCCGGCCACUCAAAUGGGGUGGAAAGAGGUGGCACAGCGCUGCCGAGGGAGUGCGUUCCAGACAGGUGACCUCUUGCUUGGGUGCUGAAUGAGUGGAGUUUUCCAGAGAGACCAAGAGGAAGCAGCCGCAGAAACCUCAGCCCAGCUGGGCUUGCAGAAGCUAAUGCUAGAAUAGUUGUGGGACUCAGGAUCUGCUGAAGUCGGGGGAAGAGAGAAGUAGGGAAAGGAAAGCCCAGGCCACGCGUGGGGCUCAGGAACGGCAUCCUCGCCCGAGAAAAGAGAGGUUAAAACCAAGACAUGGACAAAGCCUCCGAAUGAAGGCAGCCCUUUAAAUGGAAUAAAUUUGGUUUCAUGGCACAUUAAUGGGGUGUCUUCUCUCCGAAGACACAGAGACAACUACAGUAGGUCUGGGGGCCGUCAGGGAUUGGAGGAACGAAGGUAAGAAAAGGAAGAAGGUAAGAAAAAGAGGUCCCUACCUCUGUGAGGUAGGGACAGUGCUGAACAGCAGGGCUGGGAGAGCCCACAGGGAGGUGGCCAGGAUGGCCACAGGGCCUGGGGAGGACCAGGUGGGGCACCAUCCUGCGGUAGAGAAUGCCCGUCACCUGCCCUAGGGGCCACCCAGAAUGCAGAUUAAAUAAGUAUUUGGGAAUGGCACAGGAGCUUUUCCAUUUUCGUGGGUUAGAGGAAAGCUGCUGCGUUCAAGAGGAUAACGUGGGACCUGAGCAUUCUGGUAAGUCAACCCCACAUUCAUGGAAAGCCACGGGCUCUGUUUUACUGAUAAGGAACUGAAGUCCCACAGAGGAAGUGGCCAGGCUCACUCACACACAGCAUGCACUUGAAGCUUUCUGUGGAAAUCAGAAACCUCCGGGGCUCAGGCGCUGUAGUGGUGGCCUGGUGACUCUGACCCCUUGAAGGAGAAGCAUCUGUGAAGGUGCUGUCCAGGACAAGUAGGGUGCUCUACGGUAAAGGACAUGGUGGCCUGACCUGCUCCAGAGCAGGGAGGCCUCCCUUGAGGAAAUAAGAUAAACCCAGACUUUAAGGAUAAGCAGAAACCAGCUAGGUGAACUGGAGUGGGAACAGCACGUGAAAAGGCCCUGGUUUAGGAAGGAGCACCACUCCUUCAGAGCACAGAAAGGCCAGGAUGGCCGAAGCAUAGGGAACAACAGGAAAGUGACAUAAAUUGAGGCUGCAGAGGUAGAAGAAGGGCCUUAUUGGUCGUGCUAGGAAUUUGGAAUUCUGCAAAGAAGCCUGGGAAACAGAUUUUGGUGACACUCGCCUUCUCUUUAAUGUGCAGUUUCA
rnacentral:lncRNA from 1 species